CUGCUCUAUUUGGUCAAACAUUUAAUUAACUCACCCCUAAUGCCAUGGCAGGGCCAGACCAAAUGAUUCCGAGAGCCUUAUAGGGUCUGCGGGCCGGACAUUCCCCAACCCCUGGUAUAGAGGAGGGAA